GACAACUUGGCGGAGUGGUUAACGUGCUGCCCUGCUAAGGCAGUGUCCUUGGACGCGCAGGUUCGAAUCCUGCAGUUGUCG
rnacentral:tRNA from 1 species